GUGCCAGCAGCCGCGGUAAUACGUAGGGAGCGAGCGUUGUCCGAAUUCACUGGGCGUAAAGCGCGCGUAGGCGGGCUUUUAAGUUGGGGGUGAAAUCCCGGAGCUUAACUCCGGAACUGCCUCCAAAACUGGAAGCCUUGAGGUAUGGAGAGGGAAGUGGAAUUCCUGGUGUAGCGGUGAAAUGCGUAGAUAUCAGGAGGAACACCCGUGGCGAAGGCGGCUUCCUGGCCAUAUCCUGACGCUGAGGUGCGAAAGCUAGGGGAGCGAACGGGAUUAGAAACCCUUGUAGUCC
rnacentral:rRNA from 1 species